rnacentral:tRNA from 2 species
GUUUCUGUAGUGUAGUGGUUAUCACGUUCACCUAGCACAUGAAAGGUCCCGGUUCAAAACCAGGUGGAAACA